ACACUUGUGGCAAAAUAAGUUGCCUUUGGCCACGCAGGAGACUGAGUUUUGUGAGGGGUUGUCCUUCUCCCAGUCUCUCUUCCCGCUGGGAACAGAAGUGUCCAGUAAACCCACCUGCAUUCCACGUGUCCUGUGGCCGCCUCCAGUGGUGAGUCUGUGAGGCCAGAGAAGAGAAGCUAUGACCGUCCUGGCAGUGUGGGUACCUGGGCAGUCAGGCACGUUCCGCAGAUGUGAUGUGGUCGGCCUCACAGGUAAUGUUUCUACUGUGGCCUGAGGAUGGAGAGUGGAGCCCCUGAGCUUUAGUUGUGUGGCUGGGUUUUAGGCCAGGACUGUGACCUGUGGUAGAAGGUCCAGAGUAUCUCAGGACAUCCAAUCCCAGAAUCUUCCUGAUCCAGGGCUUGCAUUAAUUUGCUUAGGAUCAUGGACUUCAGCUGCCUCCAUGUUGCUGCAAAGACGUGGUUUUCUUCUUUUUUUAUGGCUGCAUAGUAUCCCAUGGUGUAUACUGGAUAAAGUGGACUUUAUCCAGUCCACUGUUGAUGGACACCUAGGUUUAUUCCAUGACUUGGGAGGCUGAGGCAGGAGAAUGACAUGAACCUGGGAGGCAGAGCUUGCAGUGAGCCGAGAUCACUUUUAUUUUUAACUAAACAGGCCUUCCUUUGGAAUUUUUGCAUAUACAAUGCUAUUUCCAGAAUUGAACCCUAACAUUAGUACAAUUCCAUAGGGCAAAGGUAUCCUGACAUCAUUCACAACAGCUAAGAGAAGGAGACAACACAAAAUGUCCUUGGAUAGAUGAAUAGAUAAACAGUGUGGCACAUCCACACAAUGGAAUAUUCACCCUUACAAUUAUAGGGUAUUAAGUAGCUUCAGGAUGUUUGGAAGGAAGUUUAAAAGGCUGAGCUCUCAGGAACAACUUCCAGAUGUGGACAGCAGAGCUGGCCCGGAGGCAGGGUGGUUGCCACACAGCUGCCUCCAGAAUCACUCUGCUUCUGUCAUAGUCAAGAAGCCUCCCCUGUCUUUUGUGUUUUUAAACUUUUUAUUCUGACAUAAUUUUAGACGUAAAAAAAGAAUUCCAAAGAUAGUACAGAGGGUUCCCAUAUGCCUUGACCCAGCUUGACCCCCAUAACAUCAGCCUCUUAUGUAACCAUAGUAGAAUCGUCAAAACUAAGAACUUAACAACAAUUCAACACUGGUAACUGAACUAUAGACUUUAUUAGGAGUGCACCAGUUUCUCCACAAACAUUGGUUUUCUAUUCCAGGAUCCAUUCCAAGAUACCAUAUUGCAU
rnacentral:lncRNA from 1 species